GACGGAAGGUGCAAGCGUUGCUCGGAAUCACUGGGCGUAAAGGGUGCGUAGGCGGCCGUGCAAGUCUGGCGUGAAAGCCCCGGGCUCAGCCCGGGAAGUGCGCUCGAAACUGCGCGGCUCGAGUGCCGGAGGGGAAAGUGGAAUUCCAUGUGUAGCGGUGAAAUGCGUAGAGAUAUGGAGGAACACCAGUGGCGAAGGCGACUUUCUGGUCUGUAACUGACACUGAGGCGCGAAAGCGUGGGGAGCAAACAGG
rnacentral:rRNA from 1 species